UCUAUGAAAAGGAUCAAGACCUUUUAGGAUUUCUGCUGGACACAAAAUAUCCGUAACAGUUGAACAUGGAUGGAAAAGGCAAAAGACCCUCUUUGGUUGGCUGAGAGAUCAAGAGUUUUGACCAAAAUUUGGUCAUUAGGGUCUUGGAUGAGACCCAGGAUACAUAAGAAGGAUCAAAUGACAGUUUCCACAUUUUCCUUUGUCCCAGUUUUAGGCCAGAAAGCUGCAAUCUCUUAUUUUUGAUCUAGGCUGGGCCACAGAAAGGUGCUGUGUAAAAGCCUGUCCUUAAAUCCAUUGGGAAUCUGAUGCCAAUAUAAAGUGUCACCAGUAAGGAAUCCCACCAUGAACCUGUGCUCCUGGAUCUCUGUGAGCUUUCCACUUCAUCCUGGGUCACACUGAGAACAUUGCCAUUGAAAAUUCUCGUCUGUCCCUAUUAUGUUGCUUCAACCAGGAAUGAUUCGUAUCAUGGUUUCUGGGAAACCAUCAGGUGUGGGGAAAAUUUUGGCACUCCAGUCGUCAUUCCCAUGUGCCAGGAGUGAUGGAGCAACACGUGUGUCUCAAUCCCAGAAGGAGGACAACACUCAGCCUUCCCUUUGGGAGCGGGACGCCUUUAACAUGAAAAGUUCUUUCGCCUCUGUUGCAGAUUUAAUCUACAAAAAUUCCCACUGUUGCAUUUCCUAGGAAGACACGUGGCAAACCACUACAAGGGAGGAAGCAGCAAAGCAUAAAAGUCUCUAAAAUACCCCAAACAUGAAAUUUUUAAGGAAAAAACCACUUUGUUAUGCUUUCUGUCACUUCCAACUUGCCUCCUUUUGGAAGAUCCAAAGACUGCUGUGUGGAUUUAACCUGGCAUCCAGCACCAUCAGAGCUCUACCACUGGAAAGAAGAAUUAAUUCAUCAGAUUCUUAUUUCUGCAUCAAAUCACUGAUUGAGGUGCAAAAGGACAUUGGUGACACCAUCACAACACUGCCAAGUUGGUGACAGCCCUCUAAAGUGGAAAAUUGUCACCAUCUUCCCUCUAAUCCUUGUCUUAAGUAGGAGCAGCAUGAGAGGCUCACCUUGUUCCACACACAGGACAGCAACCAGCAAGGUGACAAGAGGAGUCCUCAUCUCCAGCAGAUCCUCCCAGCAGGACUGGGAAGCUGUUUGGAGGGCAGGUUUUAUACCCCAGCCCAACAGCAGCAGUUUUACAGGUUCCCCAUGGCUCGCAUGUGGACAUGAAAUCAACCCAAGGGUGUGGAAUGUUCAUGUGGGAGUUUUCCAUGCUGGAGCCCUUGGAACGGGCUGGCACCUUGGGGAAAAGCCCUUUCAGCCACGCAUUUCUUGCUCUUCCGGUUGUGUGAGUGAUGGGAAGUUGGGAUCUGCUCUCUCCUCCUCUGAAUUUCUCCCUUUCCUUCCUUCCAGAGCUGCUGCUCUGAUGAAAGCAGAGCCUGGAGGCAUGGGGAGAUAGUCCUAGGAAUGAAUUUUUCUAAUCCCUUUGCAUAGACAGCACGUGAUGUUCCAGGGUUUGUACCGUUCAUUGGCUUUAAUUAUCCAACAGCACCAGCCUCAGCCUCUGAGCUGGCCUAAGCUGGUUUAGCUCAAAUAAAAUCAGUAUGUUUUACACCAAGUUGAAUUAGCUAAUGGUUGGUUAAACAGAAGAUUUUCCUCAAAUUUUCAUGUCAGCCUUCAUUUCUUUAUCAAUUUUCCCCUGGUUAAUCCCUCUACUUGCUCUUUUCCUGCUUGUAAUCCUCAAAUACCUUGUACAAUUUUGAUUUAAUGAAGUUUUGCUUCUAUCCAGGGAUUCUUUAGAGGAGCUGCUUUUCUCCACGCCCCACAGUUUCUCGAAAUCAGGCCUCUGUUUCCAAGCCCACAAAUUGGCACCCUGGAAUUGCAGCUCUGCUCUGGAAAGAGCCAUCCCUCCGAGUGUCAUUUUUUCAAUCUCUCCUCUUAAAUCAAUCCUUUUGCUUUUAUUCCUCUGUGUUGCUCCUCUCCUCUGAAUUCCUUAAAAUCUGUUUCUGGCAGUCUGGGAUAGAGACCCUCGUCCAAGAUGCGUCUUAUAAGAGCUUGAGCUGCCAAGUCCACAGAGCUUCUUCUAAAACAAGAUUAGUCCUGGAGAGCAGAAAGAAAAUAUUGUCAAACCCUGCUUUUUCUGGCAAUUAUGGAAUAACUUUGCAGGCAAUUCCCUGGAUGUAGCCAUCAGCAGGGUAUUUUUGUCUAAUAUGAAUCAUUCCAACACUGGAUGAUUUCCUGAUCCAUGUGAUUGUCUGACACUUUUUUCAGGCCCUCCUGAUCUGUCCUGGGAUAACAUCAUCAGGUGGUGAAUUCCAGAGUUGUUCAAGCCCUGUGUCCAAAUAGACAUUCCCUGGCUUUGGAGGUUGGUGAGGUCAGCGGGGACGUGGUGAUGAUCAAAUCGAGCCUUGUGCUUCACACAGGACAACUUGGUCUUCUGCUGAAGUGUUUUAUAAACAGGUUUUUCUUCCUAAUUAGUGGGUGUGGCUCCUUGCUGGCGUUUUGCAAUGAGGGUGAAAGGAAGGAACCAUUUUUUCCCUUAUUUUUAGUCUUAUUUAUCCCAUAGACUUGUUGUGUUUAUUCCUUUCCCCUUUCAUAUCCCUGCUCAUGUUGAUUUCUGAGGAAUCAUACACUGCGUUGGUUGGAAGGGACCUUAAAAAUCACCUUGGCCCAACCCCCCGCCAUGGGCAGGGGCACCUUCCACUAUCCCAGGUUGCUCCAAGCCCCAUCCAGCCUGGCUUUGUUGACUUUUCCAACAUCCAUUUUAUUCCCGCAUGAACCUUCUGGGAAUAGGAUCAGCACAAGUCGAUUUUGACUUUGACUUUGACUUGGAAGGAGCAGUGAGGCUAAAACAUUCCCAGCACAUCCAACAAAUAUGUACAAAGGAGAGAAAUUUGGGUUGGAAAUGGGAUUUUCUGUGUUUUCUGGGAGCUGUCUCCAGGACAUGAAUGUCUUCUUUAGUACUGUGGUUCUAACGUACCUUGGAAUGCUGGAGCAUUCCCUCUUCCCAGUGCGUGGAGAGCUGUAAAAGAGAUUUAUUUCCCAAUAGGACAGAUUACAAAACUCAAAAGCACUCAGAGGCAUCACUCAAGGAUCCAGCAUGGAGAGGGUUGUCUCCUGGUGCCCGGGAUUCAUGCUUGGAGGAGGGCCUGGAGCAGGGAUACCAAGUGAGGAGUAAUAUUGAGGAAGACAGGAAGAAAAAAAAACCCAAGGAAGCUGAGUCACCUCUCUGGAGUAAUCUUAUCAUUAUCCUUUCGGGAAAAUUAAAGUGGAUCUCAAAUUGGAGCCAUUGAGUUGGCAAUGGACUCAAAUUGGAGCCAUGAUUUGGCUCCAUGACAAAUGGAGCAGUCAGCUUUGGGAAAAGGGUUGCUUUUGUCCCUUUCCAUGGCUUCCAGAAGAUUUUUAGACCCAGUGGGGGCCUUGCUUUGGUCUCUUGCAUCCAGCCUGUCUCUUGCUUUGACAUUGAGGCACUGUAUUGGAUCUGGGCAAAUAAACAGGGAAAAGGGAGAGAAAUUUCAUGUCAUGAAGGAAAAGGGAGGGGAAUUAUUCAAGGAGAACUAAAGGCAGCACAGACCCUUCAAAACCAAUGGUGGGAAAGCCCUGAGAGAGGGAAAAGAAGGGCCAAAGUUAAAGCAUCUCCUGCAGAUGCCUCAUGUAGGCAGGGAAAGGCCUUCUUGGCUGACCCAGGUUCUGGUGCAGUGAGUCAGAGCUCUGAAAAAUGAGUUUUAUAUAAUCCACAGGGAGAGAGAGGCAGUUACCUCCCAGGAGCAAUCCCAGCUAUUGGAAUGAGAUUCCCGUCUCCUUCCCAAAAGCCCUCCAGGCAUCGCAGACAUCUCUGCUCCUGGGGCAGCUCAGUGCUCCCAUGUGAGGAGUGUGGAGCCAUGGGAGGCACCAGAAACCCGAGGUGAUGGAAGGAUUUGGAAUUAGGGAGCAGCACCUGCGUGGGAGGUGUCAAUCGGGAUUUCUCGGGAAGGCUGGCAGAGUCUCCUCUUACACAACAGUUCGAGGGGAGGGUUCACUGUGGGAGCUCUCGUGUUUUUAGGACCUCCUGUGCCUCAGGAAAGUUGCUGCUCCCACCUCCAGAUAAGGACUUUGGGAUGUGGGUCAGCUUUGGAGCACAUGGAUGCGUUUUGUUGGGCACUAGGGAAAAGCCUAUGGGAUCAGGGGAAAAUCAGGCAAGAAGGAGGUAGCCAGGAUGGAGCUGCUCCCUUAGGGAUGGCACUUCUGUAUUCCCAGAGCUGUUUAUAACUUUUCCAUGCAACAGCCAUAACCAGGGGUGUCCCACGUGCUUCCAUCCCCUUUGCCAUGCCAGGAUCCUUCCCAUCCCAAAACAGAGGCACCUGCCAGGUUCAGGCAGCUCAAGACAUGACCUUAUUUUAAACCUGGCUGCCAAGGGCAGGUCUGGACUCCCAAGCUCAGCAGAACAAGACCUGAGGCCAUACCAGCCCCAUCUUGACCUUUCCCUGUGCCAACCAUUGUCCCUAAGGAAUCUUAAACCUGUGGAUAGCACAGGAUGAAGAUUAUUCCAAAUAGUUCAGUUGUUAUCCUGUUACAAUCAGGGUGUGGGGCAGAAUAUGGCCAGCCAAGGUCACAGAAUUGGUUUGUUCGGGGUUUUUGAAUCUGUGUCACUUGAAUAUCCCUAAAUUUGGCAGGAAGGAACACAGGGUGAGGAGAAUAAAUUGGGCAGAUGGAUGGAGCCAGUUCAGUUGGGAUAGGCAAUAAAAUCCAUGGGAAGAAUGGACUCAUGGCCAAAAUCGAAGUAUCCUUGGCCAACCUUGCAUUUACAUCGAGGAGGAAACAAUGAGCUGAGGCAAGGAAAUAGAGUUUGGAUGGAAAAAGACUUCCUCCAAAGUAAGACUGGAGGAAGAAGCCAACGAGGAAGCCUGGGAGAGAAAAAAGCCAGGGAAUGCAGAGCUGGGGUUGGAUGUGGAUGGGAGGAAGGUGGGCAGGAAGGGGUAAGAGCAGAUGGGAGAGGCUGGAGCCAUGAGCCCACGUUUCCUCUGCAAAGCUGUUGUAAAGAAUAAAGAUGUGGCUGUUCCCGAGCGUUGUGUUUCUUCUGCUCCUGGAAAAUACCCGUCGGAAUGAGCCGAACAUGGAGCUUUGCAAGGAGGCUACAGAGGGAAAACCAGCUGGGUAAGCUGCACCCAACUCAUUACCCUGGGAGAUCUUCCUCAGGAUGAUCCCUGUGGAGAGCUCUUUCAUCCCAGGAGAAAGGAGUUCAGCCUCCCUGGAAGGGUCGGAGUGAGCAAACCUCUCAUUCCUAAGAUUAUCCACAAGGAGGGUCAGAGCAGGGUAAUGAGUCCCUUCAAUUUUAACUCGAUGAGCUAACAUAAAAGAUUUAUUUGCAGUGUUAAUAUUUCUUCAUAGAUGAGUCUGAAAAAUUCCAGGUUUCUUUCCAGAAACCAUCUGUCUUUUCCUAUGAUUUUUCUUUAAGCACCACGCAAAAUACUUUUCUCCCUUUUCUAAGUAAUCCUAAUGCUUCUAAGGGAAUUUCCACUGGAAGAUCUUAAACCAGUUUAAAGAAAACUCUCAAAAUCCUUUCCCAUCAGGCCCUGCCUUGCCCUCUCUGUUUCCUGGAGAGCUCAAGAGCCAUUUCCUUCCAGGCAGCUGCCCCAGGAGAGGAAUUGAAAGGAAGUCAAAUAGAAUUUAGUCUAUUCCGAAAUGGAGUUGCAAAAAUGCCAUUUCUGCCAGUGCAGAAAAAUAAAAUCUGGGGAGAGGCUUCCUGAAGUGAAUGCAAAGUAAUUUUAAUAUAUUUCAGCAUUAUUCCCAUUCAACUUGCAGGCGAACGCCUCCGCUUUUGUCCCAUAACAUGGAUACAUCCAGCAGCUACGCCCAAUGUGCCACACCAUGCAGCCACACAAUAGAAUAAAAUAACACUUUAUUGUGCCCAGUUUCUGUUUAACAACUGGAAUAUUAAAGGCUUUCUCAGAGCAAAAUGAUACAGGGUGGAAAAUGGGUAAAAAAUGGCACAAGAGAAUGGCGGGG